GCAUAUCAAUAAGCGGAGGAAAAGAAACCAACAGGGAUUGCCCCAGUAACGGCGAAGUGAAGCGGCAACAGCUCAGAAUUUGGAAUCUGGCCCCCAGGGCCCGAGUUGUAAUCUGGAGAGGAUGCUUCUGGCGCGGCGCCUUCCGAGUUCCCUGGAACGGGACGCCGGAGAGGGUGAGAGCCCCGUACGGUUGGACGCCUAGCCUUUGUGAAGCUCCUUCGACGAGUCGAGUAGUUUGGGAAUGCUGCUCAAAAUGGGAGGUAAAUUUCUUCUAAAGCUAAAUACCGGCCAGAGACCGAUAGCGCACAAGUAGAGUGAUCGAAAGAUGAAAAGCACUUUGAAAAGAGGGUCAAACAGUACGUGAAAUUGUUGAAAGGGAAGCGCCCGUGGCCAGACUUGUGCCCCGCGGACCACCCGGCGCCCUCAGCGCCGGUGCACUCCGCGGGGCGCAGGCCAGCAUCGGUUUUCCUAGGGGGAUAAAGGCGGCGGGAACGUGGCUCCUUCGGGAGUGUUAUAGCCCGUCGUGCCAUGCCCCUGGGGGGACCGAGGACCGCGCUUCGGCAAGGAUGCUGGCGUAAUGGCCACCGGCGACCCGUCUUGAAACACGGACCAAGGAGUCAAGCAUUGGGGCGAGUGUCUGGGUGCCAAACCCGCACGCGAAAUGAAAGUGAACGCAGGUGAGAGCUUCGGCGCAUCAUCGACCGAUCCUGAUGUUCUCGGAUGGAUUUGAGUAAGAGCCUUACCGCUUGGACCCGAAAGAUGGUGAACUAUGCCUGUAUAGGGUGAAGCCAGAGGAAACUCUGGUGGAGGCUCGCAGCGGUUCUGACGUGCAAAUCGAUCGUCAAAUAUGGGCAUGGGGGGCGAAAGACUAAUCGAACCAUCUAGUAGCUGGUUACCGCCGA
rnacentral:rRNA from 1 species